UACGGGGGGAGCAAGCGUUGUUCGGAUUUACUGGGCGUAAAGCGUGCGCAGGCGGUUUUGUAAGUCGGAUGUGAAAUCCCCGGGCUCAACCUGGGAACUGCAUUUGUGACUGCAUGGCUAGAGUACGGUAGAGGGGGAUGGAAUUCCGCGUGUAGCAGUGAAAUGCGUAGAUAUGCGGAGGAACACCGAUGGCGAAGGCAAUCCCCUGGACCUGUACUGACGCUCAUGCACGAAAGCGUGGGGAGCAAACAGG
rnacentral:rRNA from 1 species